rnacentral:tRNA from 1 species
CGCCCUUAGCUCAGUCGGAUAGAGCAACGGCCUUCUAAGCCGUAGGUCACACGUUCGAAUCGUGUAGGGCGGGCCA